rnacentral:rRNA from 1 species
AUUGGAAGGGAUGUAUUUAUUAGAUAAAAAACCANNNCGCNCUGNGGGUCCNUUGGUGAUUCAUAAUANCUUUUCGAAUCGCAUGCCCUUGUGCGGNCGAUGGUUCAUUCAAAUUUCUGCCCUAUCANCUUUCGAUGGUAGGAUAGAGGCCUNCCAUGGUUUNNCCGGGUAACGGGGAAUUAGGGUUCGAUUCCGGAGAGGGAGCCUGAGAAACGGCUACCACAUCCAAGGAAGGCAGCAGGCGCGCAAAUUACCCAAUCCCGACACGGGGAGGUAGUGACAAUAAAUACCGAUACAGGGCUCUUUGGGUUCUGGCAAUUGGAAUGAGUCCAAUUUAAAUCCCUUAACGAGGACCAAUUGGAGGCCAAUUCUGGUGCCACCACCCCCGGUAAUUCCAGCUCCAAUAGCGUAUAUUAAAGUUGUUCCAGUUAAAAAGCUCGUAGUUGAACCUUGGUCCUGGCUANCNGUCCUCCUCACCGAGUGCACGGAUUCGGUCGGUCCUUUCCUCCUGGGGAACCUCAUGCCCUUCACUGGGUGUGUUGGGGAACCAGGACUUUUAC